CAGCGCUGUAAAGCCUCAGUGUAAUCAGUGCCGCAGUGCUGGGAGCGCGGCUCCCAGCGCUGCAAGCUACACCCGUAGAGGAUGUGGUUUACGUGCAGCGCUGGGGGAGCUCUCUCUCAGCGCUGGUGCUCCGACCACACUCACACUUCAAAGCGCUGCUGCGGCAGUGCUUUGAAAUUUCAAGUGUAGCCAUACCCUCAGGUUAGGAAUUGUUGAACCCUGGGUUCCAACCUGGGGCUUUAGCAUCUGCACUGCAUUGCGUAGGCUUGAGACUAGCGACCCAUAUCCCAGACUUCCUAGUAUUUCCCCCUCUUCCCCCCCCAAAAAAAAUAUGGCUGCUGUAGCCCUUUGUUCAUGGUGCAGUGUGGGAAAACUUGACUAUCAUGAGCACAGUGGGGCUGCAUCUACACUGCAAAGCUUGAACUCUGGCUUCUGGCUUGACUCAAGCUCAGGUAUUAUACACAGCAAAGAAAACCUGUGGCUGGCUUGUGCCAGCCAACUCAGGCAUAAGUGCUAGAACUAGGGGUGUGGGGGUGCUACUGCACCUCCUGGCUAUGAUGGAAACGACUUCAAUACAGGGUUUACAGUUUUGUUUAAUGGCUCAUAUCUCAUUAUCACUGCAGGGGUAGUCUUGUCUCAGGAAUUCUAAGUACGGAAACAUUUUUCUUGUAGAUCAAUUUUUGGUUACUCUUCCAAAUAACCAAAUAGUCUCUCUGAGAGUUGUAUACAUUUCCUUUAUGUAUAUUAUUUGGAGAUAUGCUUGAAACCCAUUUUGUUGAGAAAUUAAGGCCCCUAUGCUGCUGUAGUUGACUUGAAUGAAAGCAGGAUGAGGCUUUAAGCAACAGUUGGAAUUACAAAACAGGAGGAGCUGAAGGAUUUAAAUUGGAGGAUAUAAAUUAUAAAAAUAAAAUGGAAGACACCCCUCUUCAGCAAACUAAUAUUUUUGUCUAUUAUAGUCAACCAUGGUAGUAUUUUCUGCCUUGCAUCAAAUGCCUUAGGCUAAGUCUUCCUUUUACCUGAAAACUGUUUUGUCUAAAUUAUGUUGUCUUUGGAUAAACCAGGUUUGGCUAUAUGUGGAAAGAAUAAAUUUGUUUACAUUUGUUCUUCAUUUAGUGUAGACAUAGUUAUACUGACAAAAAAUGCUUUGGCUGGUGCAACUCAUUUCGUUCAGGGAACUGGUAUAAACUAUACCAACAAUAGAGGUCUUUGGCUGGUAAAAGCUGCAUCUACACUAGGAGGGUUUGCUGGCAUAGCUAUACUGGCAAACCUUGUUUAAUGUAGACUAGGUCUUGAUUCUCUAUUGAAGUAUAGUCCACAUUUACAACUAUCUUUGUAUUAAUGAUAGUUAUAGUCUUCCAAAAUAGUAUUGAAAAUUUUGUGAAAGAAAAUAUUUUUCUCGCGAUCUAACAAUUAGAGUGUGUUCUUCUCACAAA